CUCCCCGGGAGCCCGCGGUCUGAGCGGCUAGGCUCCGGCCGCCUCGCCCGCGCCGGGCGGUGCUCACGUGGUACGGGAGGUGCCUGGACAUGCCCGGUCACCGGCCCGGGUCGGCGUUCCCCCGCUAGCUCGCGCCGUGCCUCGGAACACGGAUCAUGCUGCCUGGGAAAUGCAAGGAGGAGAUAGUCACAAGCAAGGACCCUCUCUUCCCCUCGGACUGACUCUGGAAGUCUAUGAGGAGCUACUGGAUUCUGCUAUCAUUUGGACACUGCCCUAUAAACUGUUCCUGACUGAUCGACAAAGAGCUCCUUGCUUUGUGGAUGGCAGUUCCAAGGUGAAUGGACAACAUCGUGUUUAGAAAGCCACCACUCUGAUGGAAGAAGAUUCAACAGGCAGAGGGAAAAAAGAAUGUAUCGUGAAGAGACUACAGGUUCAAAAAGAUUCAAACCUGAAUACGGCUACAUUCCUGACCAUAUUCAGGACCUGGCUCACUGAUGACACCAAAAGGGAGGAGACAGACAGGAGCUGAAAUUUAAGCAUUUGCUUACUUGUAAGUUCUGCUUCCUCUAUAAGAAGAUAAACAGAGAAAUAUCUGGGCAAUUCAUGCACUCCAACAGGAAGUCAACACAACAGCACUAACUCCCCUUAAUGGAACAAAACUUUUGACAGUGCUUACAGUGUGCUGUGGAAGCAGCAGUGAGCUACGGCUGGGUUCUCACAAAAUAGCAGUUAGGUCAGCUGUGGUUCCCUGAGCUAAAUAAAAGUAUCAGCUGACAAUACUUAAAAGGCAAGUGGACUAUUUGACCUCACUUUAAAAAUUUCUAAAGUCCACCUGAAAUAAUAGCUGAAAACUACAAGUAGACUGCAGAAGACCUUAAAAUUCCUUGAGUUUAGAGUAUUUCCUCUCUUUAUUAUAUUAACUGUUAAAAGUUUUGAUAUUUGGAAGUUAAAAUUGGUAUUUCUUUUUCUUGACUAAAUCUAUUCUGCAUCACUAUUAACAAAAGUUCUGCCAAGACAUUAUUUAAUUGUAGUACCUAUACACUUAAGAGGAAAGGUAAACAUAAAACUAAGAGAAAUGCAAAGAAGAGAUACAAAGAUAAAAUU